CAGUCGCCGCGGUAAUACGGAGGGAGCUAGCGUUGUUCGGAAUUACUGGGCGUAAAGCGCACGUAGGCGGCUUUGUAAGUCAGAGGUGAAAGCCUGGAGCUCAACUCCAGAACUGCCUUUGAGACUGCAUCGCUCGAAUCCGGGAGAGGUGAGUGGAAUUCCGAGUGUAGAGGUGAAAUUCGUAGAUAUUCGGAAGAACACCAGUGGCGAAGGCGGCUCACUGGACCGGUAUUGACGCUGAGGUGCGAAAGCGUGGGGAGCAAACAGGAUUAGAUACCCCAGUAGUCCCUGUCUCUUAUAC
rnacentral:rRNA from 1 species